GGGGAUGUGGCUCAGUGGUAGAGCGUUUGCCUAGCAUGCUCGAGGCCCUGGGUUCAAGCCCCAGCAUGGUAGUCUUUUUCA